GUUUAUUUUUUAACUCUGACUACAGUAUGUGUUAUGGGAUACUCCCUGGCUGUGUUUUAUUUUGGAGUUGAUUAAUUGGUGUACAGGAGCGUGUUUUAACACCACAUCUGGAGUUAAAUGUUGAGAAGUGCGCCACGACACGACCCUGGUUCUGCAGCACAAAGGACUUGUACUUCAUCGUGAGGUCACGAUUUUGAUAAAAGUGUAACGUGGAGGGAAGAAGUAUGUAAAACUGGAAGAUGUUUGUUUCUCAGAUUUUCUCAGUACAGUCCAGCAGAAGUUUCUGAUACCAAAGAAUACAACAUUGAAAGUCACAGAUGACCAUUGCAUAGAGGUGGAUGAGGAUGUCUUUCCAGAACUUGCAACAACCAAAGAAAUGUGUUUUAUCAUCCACACUGAUGAUGAACUUCUGUUUGCUGAAACAUCCAAGAACUCUGCUGACUUCUCAGACCUGACAAAGUUUGGUGCCUCCUCAAAUCAGACAGAUGUUGUUACUCUCACUACUUGUGGUAAGCAGAGUUAAAUGCAAUGUGAUAAUUUUGUCUGACCCUGGGAAU